rnacentral:misc_RNA from 1 species
CCACCCUUGCAUGCUACAGAAAGUGACUUUCCACCAUUUGGCCUCCAUUCAAGAACUUUAAUAUCUCUUUGGGAAUCACAGGUCAAGACACAUGCAUCCUUCCCUUCUGAAUCUUCAUAAUCACGAAGUACAAUCUGAUUUGGACCAGAGAUAAAUGCAAUAAUAUGUUUAUGUUGGUGCCAGCUCAACCCUUUAAAAUCAACCUCUGGCAACAUGUUUACAUAAUUGGGAUGAAAAAUGCGUCUGAUAGAAUCAAUAGCAAAACUGUGCAAUUCUUUCAACAAACUAUUCCUCUCAGUAUUCUCUCCA